rnacentral:lncRNA from 1 species
AGUAGAAUACUACUCAACCAGAGAAAAGAAUGAAAUAAUGCCAUUUGCAGCAACAUGGAUGGGCCUAGAGAAUAUACUAAGUGAUGUAAGUUGGAGAAAGACAAUACUAUAUAGUAUCGCCUAUAUGUGAAAUCUAAAAUAUGAUACAAAACAAACUUAUUUACAAAAUGGAAACAGACUCACGGACAUAGAGAACAAACAUGGUUACCAAAGAGGAAAGGGGCAGGGAGGGGAAUAAAUGAGAAGUUUCGGGAUUAACAGGUACAACUACUAUAUAUUAAAUAGAUAAACGACAAGGUGCUGCUGUAUAGCACAGGGAACUAUAUUAAAUAUCUUAUAAUAACCUGUAAUGAAAAAGAAUACAAAAAGAAUUUACGUAUGUGUAUAUAUAUGACUGAACCACUUUGCUGUACAUUAGAAACUAACGUGUUAUAAAUCAACUAUACUACAGCCCCCACCACCAAACCAUAGAGAGGCAUGGAGUAAAACUUAAUAAUCCAUUAAAUAGAAUUAAUUUCAUUUAAACACUGCAUAUAUACAUAUACCAUAUACAGAUAGGUUUUUUAUUGCAUUUUUGGGUUUCAGUCCUUAUUGUCUUUCAGAGCUGUCCUCCUAUCUUAGGUAGCUUUGAGAGGCUACAUUCUAGCUACAUGUUGCAUAGAUAGCCAAAUGAGUAGUUUGCAAUGUGGUUGGUACAGGAAUUAGUGGGGACUCAACAUGCUUUUUUGGUUCAUGCAGCCUUCAUGUAGACUAGACUCUGUAUCAGGUCUUUUAAACGGGCUUGUUGAGUAUUUUACUCUCAUUUUAAUCUGUAUCUCAUUUUAUUUGAAUUGAACUCCCUGGGUUUGAUGUCGGUGGAGGAAACUGGAUUCAUUUGCCCUAAGCAAAAUGUCACAUUCUUCCUGCUUGGAUAGCAAGACCUGGAGGAAAAGGAGGACUCACAGGAGGCCAAGGGCAGAUUCUGUACCGUCUGAGCCACCAGAGCUCCUGAGAACACUAGCACAAAGAGGCUUGUCUUGUUACUGAGCAACCUGGCUUAACUUAACACUCAAGGACAGAACGAGCUAUGGAAGAGGCCAAGAAGGGAUUUCUAAUGAACUGGGUGGUAAGUUACCUUGACAGUCUUGAGAUUCUUGACUUUAAAAAAAAACAAAAUAUCAUAUUUACAAAUAAUUGUGGUGCCAGUGACCUAUGGUGGAUAUAAAGUUUAUUUGAAAGAAUUCAUGCAAAGUGCUUAGCACAGUGCCGAGAGCAAAAUAAUGAAUGUUACAUGAUG